UACGAAGGGGGGCUAGCGUUGUUCGGAAUCACUGGGCGUAAAGCGCACGUAGGCGGAUCUUUAAGUCAGAGGUGAAAUCCCAAGGCUCAACCUUGGAACUGCCUUUGAUACUGGGGAUCUUGAGUCCGGGAGAGGUGAGUGGAACUGCGAGUGUAGAGGUGAAAUUCGUAGAUAUUCGCAAGAACACCAGUGGCGAAGGCGGCUCACUGGCCCGAUACUGACGCUGAGGCACGAAAGCGUGGGGGAGCAAACAGGG
rnacentral:rRNA from 1 species